rnacentral:tRNA from 1 species
GGGGAUAGAUAGGUGCUGGUAUGUCUGACGGUCUUCAAAACCGGCUUAGGGAGUUGAAGCUUCUUAGGUGGGUUCGAUUCCAACAUAUCCCCACCA